AGUAACGCGUGGAUAACCUGCCUCACACUGGGGGAUAACAGUUAGAAAUGACUGCUAAUACCGCAUAAGCGCACAGUACCGCAUGGUACAGUGUGAAAAACUCCGGUGGUGUGAGAUGGAUCCGCGUCUGAUUAGCCAGUUGGCGGGGUAACGGCCCACCAAAGCGACGAUCAGUAGCCGACCUGAGAGGGUGACCGGCCACAUUGGGACUGAGACAUGGCCCAA
rnacentral:rRNA from 1 species